rnacentral:rRNA from 1 species
AUAUUGAAAUUCGGCACAGCUUGUACAGGAUAGGUAGGAGCCUUUGAAACGUGAGCGCUAGCUUACGUGGAGGCGCUGGUGGGAUACUACCCUAGCUGUGUUGGCUUUCUAACCCGCACCACUUAUCGUGGUGGGAGACAGUGUCAGGCGGGCAGUUUGACUGGGGCGGUCGCCUCCUAAAAGGUAACGGAGGCGCUCAAAGGUUCCCUCAGAAUGGUUGGAAAUCAUUCAUAGAGUGUAAAGGUAUAAGGGAGCUUGACUGCGAGACCUACAAGUCGAGCAGGGUCG